rnacentral:sRNA from 1 species
GCCGGGCAUGGUGGUGCACGCCUGUAAUAUCAGCUACUCGGGAGGCUGAGGCAGGAGGAUUGCAAGUUCAGACCAGCCUCAGCAAAAAGCAAGGCACGAAGCAACUCAGUGAGACCCUGUUUCUA